UGGUCAAGUUAUUAAGGGUGCAGGGCGGAUGCCUUGGCACUAGGAGCCGAUGAAGGACGUGAUAAGCUGCGAUAAGCUUCGGGGAGUUGCACGUAAACUUUGAUCCGAAGAUUUCCGAAUGAGGAAACUCACUUAGAGUAAUGUCUAAGUAUCAUUAAGUGAAUACAUAGCUUAAUGAGGGGAACUCAGGGAACUGAAACAUCUAAGUACCUGAAGGAAGAGAAAGAAAUUCGAUUCCGUAAGUAGCGGCGAGCGAACGCGGAUUAGCCCAAACCAAUAAAGUUUUCUUUAUUGGGGUUGCGGACAUAUCAUAACGAAGAGGUAUCGUAAUUGAAGAGGUUUGGAAAGACCCACCACAGAAGGUAAUAGUCCUGUAUGUUAAACGAGAAGACUUUAGAUAUGAUCCAGAGUACCACGGGACACGUGAAACCCUGUGGGAAGCAGGAGGGACCACCCUCCAAGGCUAAAUACUACCUAGUGACCGAUAGCGUAUAGUACCGUGAGGGAAAGGUGAAAAGAACCCCGGGAGGGGAGUGAAAUAGAACCUGAAACCCUGCACUUACAAGCUGUGGAAGCACAUUUCUUGUGUGACCGCGUACUUUUUGUAGAACGGGCCAACGAGUUACGUUAAGUAGCAAGGUUAAGCACUUAAGGUGCGGAGCCGUAGCGAAAGCGAGUUUUAACUGAGCGUUCAGUUACUUGACGUAGACCCGAAACCGGGCGACCUACCCAUGAGCAGGAUGAAGCGAAAGUAAAAUUUCGUGGAGGUCCGAACCCACGAGCGUUGAAAAGCUCGGGGAUGACUUGUGGGUAGCGGUGAAAUUCCAAUCGAGCCCGGAGAUAGCUGGUUCUCCCCGAAAUAGCUUUAGGGCUAGCCUCAAGGUGAGAGAUACGGAGGUAGAGCACUGAAUGUCCUAGGGGGUAUUGCACCUACCGAAGACUAUCAAACUCCGAAUGCCGUCAUCUUAUACUUGGGAGUCAGACUGUGGGUGAUAAGAUUCAUAGUCGAAAGGGCAACAGCCCAGAUCGUCAGCUAAGGUCCCUAAAUGUAAGUUAAGUGGUAAAGGAUGUGGGAUUGCACAGACAACCAGGAUGUUGGCUUAGAAGCAGCCACUCAUUCAAAGAGUGCGUAAUAGCUCACUGGUCGAGUGUUCCUGCGCCGAAGAUUUCCGGGGCUAAAACUUACUACCGAAGCUACGGCAUCAGUAAUGAUGGGUAGGGGAGCUUCCCAUACGGGUUGAAGCAUGACCGUAAGGACAUGUGGACAGUAUGGGAGUGAGAAUGUUGGCAUGAGUAGCGAGAUGUGGGUGAGAAUCCCACAGGCCGUAAACCCAAGGUUUCCAGGGGAAGGUUCGUCCGCCCUGGGUUAGUCGGGACCUAAGCUGAGGCCGAAAGGCGUAGGUGAUGGACAACAGGUUGAUAUUCCUGUACUACCGAUAACCGUUUGAGAGAAGGGAUGACACAGUAGGAUAAGCUAAGCACACUGUUGGUUAUGUGUGCCCAAGCAUUGAGGCAGUCAAAGUAGGCAAAUCCGCUUUGAUAAUGCUGGGAUGUGAUGGGGAGCGAAAUUUAGUAGCGAAGUAGCUGAUUUCACACUGUCAAGAAAAGUCUCUAUCGAGGUUAAAGGUACCCGUACCGCAAACCGACACAGGUGGGUGAGGAGAGUAUCCUAAGGCCAGCGAGAGAACUGUUGUUAAGGAACUCGGCAAAAUGACCCCGUAACUUAGGGAUAAGGGGUGCCACCAUCAGGUGGCCGCAGAGAAUAGGCCCAAGCGACUGUUUACCAAAAACAUAGGUUUCUGCUAAGUCGCAAGACGAUGUAUAGGAGCUGACGCCUGCCCGGUGCUGGAAGGUUAAGGGGAUCUGUUAGAGCAAUCGAAGCAGUGAACUUAAGCCCCAGUAAACGGCGGCCGUAACUAUAACGGUCCUAAGGUAGCGAAAUUCCUUGUCGGGUAAGUUCCGACCCGCACGAAAGGCGUAACGAUUUGGGCACUGUCUCAACAACAGACUCGGUGAAAUUGUAAUUCCGGUGAAGAUGCCGGAUACCUGCGACAGGACGGAAAGACCCCAUGGAGCUUUACUGUAGCUUGACAUUGGGUCUUGGUACUACAUGUACAGGAUAGGUGGGAGGCUUUGAAACCAGGACGCCAGUUUUGGCGGAGCCAUCCUUGGGAUACCACCCUUGUAGUACUGGGACUCUAACCAUAGGCCAUGAAUCUGGUCUUGGGACACUGUCAGGUGGGCAGUUUGACUGGGGCGGUCGCCUCCCAAAAGGUAACGGAGGCGCUCAAAGGUUCUCUCAGUACGGUCGGAAAUCGUACGUAGAGUGUAAAGGCAAAAGAGAGCUUGAUUGCAAGACAUACAGGUCGAGCAAGGAUGAAAAUCGGACUUAGUGAUCCGGUGGUUCUGCGUGGAAGGGCCAUCGCUCAACGGAUAAAAGCUACCCUGGGGAUAACAGGCUUAUCUCCCCCAAGAGUCCACAUCGACGGGGAGGUUUGGCACCUCGAUGUCGGCUCAUCACAUCCUGGGGCUGUAGUAGGUCCCAAGGGUUGGGCUGUUCGCCCAUUAAAGUGGUACGCGAGCUGGGUUCAGAACGUCGUGAGACAGUUCGGUCCCUAUCCGUCGCAGGCGUAGGAAAUUUGAGAAGACCUGUCCUUAGUACGAGAGGACCGGGAUGGACGUACCUCUGGUGUACCAGUUGUUCUGCCAAGGGCAUGGCUGGGUAGCUAUGUACGGAAUGGAUAAGCGCUGAAAGCAUCUAAGCGCGAAGCCAACUUCAAGAUAAGAUUUCCCACCGCAAGGGUAAGACCCCAGAAAGACUAUCUGGUUGAUAGGUCGAAGGUGUAAGUGCAGCAAUGUAUUUAGCUUAUCGAUACUAAUAGGUCGAGGACUUGACCAAU
rnacentral:rRNA from 1 species